AACAACUAAACUCAUGGACAGAGAGUUCUAUUCUUAGUUUCAUACAUAUCUUUAUUAAGACAGUCGUGCUCAGUCUUGUUUUAACCACAACUUAAAGUGUUACAAAAGUGCAAUGAUUUUGUGGAUUUAACCUUGUUUUCUAGUUCAAAAAGUACAGAUGAAGUUCUAACGUUUGACGAACGCGCAUGAGCAGUAGAUAUAAAAUUGUUGCUAUCUCAUGCCUGCUAGGAUCGAACAGGGUCAUAGGUGACUAGAUUGGAGUUGGUCAGCUAAGCCGAAGAGCGGUCUCGAGUCUCGAGGAUGAGCCAGUUUCCCUACCAAGCCGACACCGGUUUCAGACCGGUCGAGCCCUGCCUACCUCAGCAACGCGGUCCGGACUAUUGUGAGUUUGAUGACGAGGACGAGAUGGUGACAACGGAGCGCGAGUUGGCGGAGGACGCACAAUGGAAGAAAAUUCAACAAAAUACAUUCACGAGAUGGGCCAACGAACAUUUGAAAACGGUGUCGAAACACAUUGGAAAUUUGGAAACGGACCUCAGUGAUGGACUUCGCCUCAUCACGCUGAUCGAAGUGCUGUCUGGAAAAAGACUGCCGAAACACAACAAGAAAACUUCGUUCCGGUCGCAAAAACUCGAAAAUGUGUCUGUGGCCCUCAAGUUCCUGCAGGACGACGAAGGAAUUAGGAUUGUCAAUAUCGGUGAGUUGAAUAUUUUUAC